rnacentral:tRNA from 1 species
GCCCCCAUAGCCCAAUGGCAGAGGCAAUCGACUUAAAAUCGAUUCAGUCUGGGUUCGAGUCCCAGUGGGGGCACCA